CAUAGGUGGUGAGCGUUAAUCGGAAUUACUGGGCGUAAAGCGUGCGCAGGCGGUCUGUUAAGACCGAUGUGAAAUCCCCGGGCUUAACCCUGGGAACUGCAUUGGUGACUGGCAGGCUUUGAGUGUGGCAGAGGGAGGUAGAAUUCCACGUGUAGCAGUGAAAUGCGUAGAGAUGUGGAGGAACACCGAUGGCGAAGGCAGCCCCCCUGGGUCAAGAUUGACGCUCAUGCACGAAAGCGUGGGGAGCAAAUAGG
rnacentral:rRNA from 1 species